UUCUGGAUGUUGAACUCUGACCUUUGAAC
rnacentral:piRNA from 1 species